rnacentral:rRNA from 1 species
GAUGAACGCUAGCUACAGGCUUAACACAUGCAAGUCGAGGGGAAACGACAUCGAAAGCUUGCUUUUGAUGGGCGUCGACCGGCGCACGGGUGAGUAACGCGUAUCCAACCUGCCCACCACUUGGGGAUAACCUUGCGAAAGUAAGACUAAUACCCAAUGAUAUCUCUAGAAGACAUCUGAAAGGGAUUAAAGAUUUAUCGGUGAUGGAUGGGAUGCGUCUGAUUAGCUUGUUGGCGGGGUAACGGCCCACCAAGGCGACGAUCAGUAGGGGUUCUAAGAGGAAGGUCCCCCACAAUGGAACUGAGCCACGGUCCAAACUCCUACGGGAGGCAGCAGUGAGUAAUAUUGGUCAAUGGGCGAGAGCCUGAACCAGCCAAGUAGCGUGCAGGAUGACGGCCCUAUGGGUUGUAAACCGCUUUUAUAAGGGAAUAAAGUGGGAGUCGUGACUCCUUUUGCAUGUACCUUAUGAAUAAGGACCGGCUAAUUCCGUGCCAGCCGCCGCGGUAA